rnacentral:ncRNA from 1 species
GUACGUCUUCAGGGCGGGGCGAAAUUCCCCACCGGCGGUAUGCAGGCGGCGCUUCACGAAGCGCGAGUCUGCGAGCCCGCGAGCGCCUGCGUUGUGGUUUGAGUUGCAGGGUCAGCAGAUCUGGUGAGAGGCCAGAGCCGACGGUCAGAGUCCGGAUGGAAGAAGAUGUGC